UAUGGAGGGCGCAAGCGUUAUCCGGAAUCACUGGGUUUAAAGGGUGCGUAGGCGGUUCGAUAAGUCAGAGGUGAAAGCUAGCAGCUUAACUGUUAAAUUGCCUUUGAUACUGUUGGACUUGAAUCAGGUUGAGGUAGGCGGAAUGUGACAUGUAGCGGUGAAAUGCAUAGAUAUGUCAUAGAACACCGAUUGCGUAGGCAGCUUGCUGGGCUUGAAUUGACGCUGAGACGCGAAAGCGUGGGUAUCAAACAGG
rnacentral:rRNA from 1 species